UCUUGAUUUUCCUAUUCUUUAUUUGCCAGUAUUGGUAAUGCCAAUAUAGUGGUGGUAUGACAAAUACCAACAAUGUUAUUAAAAUGCAAUGUGGGGUUUAUUAUUUACCCCUCAAACGUUUUCUUUAUUGUUUAGAAUGAUGGAACAAGUUCUGGGUUAGCUGAAUGUAAUGGGCGGCUCUUGUCAUAGUAACACACAAGCUAACAUCUGAAGGUGGUGAUGUCAUUCAGGAUGUUUCAUAAGGUGUUCAUAAUGAUUCCUGUUGUGCAUAUUGUGUGAAUAUUGUCGUGACUUAGGCUAUAGGUGACACAAGGAUGCAUAAUCAGUAAACAUUCAGUGUUCAUUUUAUUUUGUAGUAACAUGGCAACUUCUCCAUUUAUUGAUAGUGUUUUCCCCAUAAUUACUGCAAUUUUUACAACACUAUUACAUUAUGGACUAAGAUUUAUUUAUUUUGUCUUUGUGUGUGGGUGGGUGGGUGGGUUGGAGUUAAAUUAUCUAAAUAAAAUAUGAUGCUUUUAUGGCUUGAGGAUGAGUAGGAAUACAUUGUUUGCAAAUGUAAUAUCACAGUCAUUUCCGAAGAGAGUUCAAACAGAAUCCGUUUUGGUCUAAUGAGGCUUUAUCAGUGUUUGCAUGAGCAAUGCAGGAGACAAACCAAUGUGAUCCAUUUGUGGGCAAUGUCAUUAACUUUGUUUUGCAAGGAUAGAAUCUGUAAUCAUCUGUAAUUUUGAUAUGUAAUUCAGUGUUUACUUGGCAGGUCGGUAAAUGGCUCAUUUAGAUAAGCUGUGUUCACCUGUGUUCACACAGCGCAGAUGUCUCUCCAUCUCUGUCAAACUCUGUCUGCCAGAAUGCCGCCCACGGGCCCCGGGUGUUUUCUCUUUUUAUUAACUGAAUUCACACAGGAAUUCCCCCAAUUCCUGACUAUCUACUAAAGCCUUACAGCAACUUCCUUAAAGAUUCACGCUCUCGAUAAAGUUGAGCAAAAAAAGGGUUUUUAAAAUAAACAAUAAAUGUAAUGAGCUGUGUUGUGUACUGAACAUGGCAAAAUUAUACACCGAUCAGCCACAACAUUAAAACCACCUACCUAAUAUUGUGUAGGUCCCCCUCGUGCCACCAAACAGCUCUGACCCGUCGAGGCAUGGACUCCACCUCUGAAGGUGUCCUCUGGUAUAUUUGGAUUUCUGUAUAUAUUUGUAUCUACUGUAUAUUUAUAGCUGAAAUUUUGUAUCUACUGUAAAUUUGUAUCUGAUUCUGUUACUUUGAUUGUCUUUGAUGCUACAACAGUAACAAAUUCCCCUCGGGGAUCAAUAAAGUACACUACUACUA